GUGUGUGUGUGUGUGCGUGUGUAUGUAUGUGUGUGUGAGUGGGUGUAUGGGCGUCUCAAUCACUGUGAAGAGGCUUAGUGCGCACCCUGGGGAAAUCGCUUAAGCCGUUCAUAAUGAGUAUUAUGACUGCGCCCGUCUGCCUGGCUGGUUGAACGCGGAGUCUUUGGCAACAAAAAUGGCAUUGAAAUUCGCCAAAAACAACAAUCAUAACCGGAGGCAGGCAUAAAAUGAAUUAUUUUCAUAGCGAGCUGGAAAAGUGCAUUCAGACAAGGACCUCGGCUAACAAUAAACAUUUCCAGCACUCCUAAAAUACACCAGAUAUUUUUAUACUCCUUUUAAUUUUGUCAAGGAGGUAGAAGGUGGACCGAGCCUCUGUUGCAGGAUGGAUCACUAUAUCAUAUAGCUGCCUUAUUAAUAAUCUGUCAAAAAUUAAGUUACGCUUAUAUCAAUCCGAGCAGAACUCAUGCCACAGCAUAAACAAAAUGCUUAUCGAACGGAAUUUUUAUCGCAGUUUAAGUGUCAUGGCAGCAGGAAGCACCGCAGGAUAACAGAAUGGAGAAAGAGAUAGAUAUUGAGUGAGACAGAGUGAGAGAGAGAGAGAGAGCGGGCGAUUCUCUGCAAUUUGUAGGUACAAUACAAACACCCAUAUUUGUCGAAUGGUUUUUCAAUGCUUUUAGCAAGCAAUUGCGCAAUUUGUCAUGCAAUCGAUGCGAAGCCAAAAAAGUGUUGAGUGAAAAUAAGAAAAGAUGGAAACUGUGUGGAAAAGUCAGCCAGACAGAGCCAAGUGCAAUGGGCAAGGAUACAUGAAGGAGCCGGAGCUGGAGCUGGAGCAGCAGUUGCUAUGCGAACUCAACUCAAUUGCGUCGCUGUUAAAUCGUGUGGAAGCUGAUAUGAUUAUGCGUGCCCAUGGCUACCAGCCAUGGCCAACGAGGCCAGCCGCUGGCCGUGGGGCAUGCAACAUGCGGCAAGUGCAGCAAUUAGUGCCAAAGAGAUAUUCGUCUGUGCAUUACAGCUCAUACCCCGGUUCACUUUAAGGCUACUCAACAACAAUCAACAAUCGCAUUAUGUGAUUUGAAAAACCUAAGCGCUCUACUUAGUGCCUGGGAAAUGGAUGCUGGAAAACCUUAAACCAAAGGCACAAACAUUAAGAAGAUUAAUUCGCAAAAGCUGUUGUUGUUGUUUCCCCUCUCUCUCUCGCUCUGUCUGAAAUCUGUCUCAGAUAACGUUAUGCAUCAUUGUGUCAAGGAAUUGACAAAUCUUUGCCCAGGCAGCAAAAGAAAAGAAACAGGAAAACGCCCAUUGUAACGUCGAAGAUUGAAUAUCCUUUUUUAUCACAUGUCAUAGAAGUGGUUUAUACCUUUGCUAAAUUCGUUUUGAUAUGUUCUUGCCGAUAGCUUACCUCAAUUUUGAAGCUCAACUUUGUUAAGUUUGUUCAAGAUAUAUAUAAAAAAGGAAA